GGGAGAGAACCAGGGUGCCGCUGUGUCGCUGCCGCCACCGCUUAGGUCCUCCCGGCCGCCGCCAUCACGCUACCACCGCUCAGUACAGGCUCCCCCUCCCUCGGUCCGAUGGAAACCCCGGGUGUGAUGUCAGCCCGGCGCCCUGGGACAGUGUGUGAGCAGAGGGAGGAGCUACGCGAGAAGGCAGGACUGGAGCAGCCGGGAGUAAAGUGGCGGCCUGACAGGGAGCAAAGGAGAAGGUGGCGGACGCUGGGCGGCAUAGCAACUAAGGGUGAGAGGCAGAAAGCAGGCAGGGUGAAGCCAAGGGUCAUUCACUGUUGGGCCUGCUACCGGCAUCAGUCAGCAGUGGAAACUUACAUCUGCAGUGUCCCAGAUGUGAAAGGGGGUGGCCUGGCCUAGAGGAAUUGCUCCCCAGAACAGACUCAUUCUCUCACCUCCAGGAGAACAUGGAUACAGACUUCAGCUCAAAGGAUUGAUGCUCAGGCAGAAAUUCCUCAAAAAUAAAAAAAACUUUUUAUUUUACAUCAGAUUUCCUAAUGUAUCUAAAACAAAAGAACAUUAUGAAAACACAGCAAAUCUAAAACAUAUAUUAAAAAGAAUAAAACCACUCUUUUUAAACAAAAACGUUUUAAAUUUAGAUUUAAAGUACCCAAAAUUGCAAUAUCCUACAAUUAGAAAAUAACGUUAAGAGGUUAAAUUUUAUGUGCAAUGAUCAGUUACAGAUAAGGUACAUAUACAAUCAUUCAGUUUUAUUAUCUCAGAUACAACCAUUCCUACAUUCUAGAUAUUCCUUAUAGAAUCAUAAGGUUGAAAGAGACCUCAGGAGGUAACAAAUCCAAUCCCCAUUAAAAGUAGGACCAAUCCCAACUAAAUCAUCCCACCCAGUACUUUGUUAAGCCUGGAUUUAAAAACUUUUAGGGAUAGAGAUUCCACCGCUUCCCUAGAUAACCCAUUCCAGUGCUUCACCAUCCUCCAAGUGAAAUCCCUUGACCAAAUCCCUCAACAACUGCAUAGUGUUGAAUUAUGACCCUAUCCUCCAAAGCACUUACAACUCCUCCCAGCUUGGUAUAAUCUGCAAACGUAAUAAGUGUACUCUCUAUGCCAAUAUCUAAAUCAUCGAUAAAGAUAUUGAACAGAACAGUUCCAAAACAGACGCCUGCGGAACCCCUUUUGUUGUACCCUUAAUAACUACUCUCUGAAACUGGUUAUCCAGCCAGUUAUGCACCCACCUUAUAGUAGCCCCAUCUAGAUUGUAUUUCCCUAGUUUAUGGAUAAGAAGAUUAUGCAAGAACGUAUCAAAUGCUUUACUAAAGUUUAGGUAUACCACACCCACUUUUUCUUUCCUAUCCACAAAGCUUGCACUUAGUGAAUCCAUGUUGACUAUUCCUAAUCACUUUCUUCUCUUCCAAGUGCUUCAAAAGGGAUUUCUUGACAAUCCAUUCCAUGAUUUUUUUCUGGGGAGUAAGAUGAGACUGAGCAGUUUGUAGUUCCCUGGAUUCUCCUUCCCAUUUUUUAAAGAUAGUCACUACAUUUGCCUUUUUUCCAUUGUCCAGGACCUCCCGCACUCACCAUGAAUUUUCAAAGAUAAUGGCCAAUGGCUCUGCAAUCACACCAGCCAACUCCCUCAGCACCCUUGGAUGCAGUAGAUCCGACCCCAUGGUUUUGUGUAUGUACAGCUUAUCAAAUAAUUCUUAACAUGUUUUCUCUCCACUGAGGGCUGCCAACCUCCUUUCCAUACUGUGUUGCCUAGUGCAGCAGUCUGGGAGCUGACCUUGUCUAUGAAGAAAGAGGCAAAAUAAGCAUUGAGUACUUCAUCUUUUCCCACAUCAUCUAUCAUUAGAGUACCUCCCUUAUCCAGUAAGGGUUCCAUACCCUCCCUGAUCACCUUUUUAUUGCUAACAUGCCUGUAGAAACCUUUCUUGUUACUUUUCAUAUCUCUUGCUAACUGCAAUUCCAAUUGCACUUUCUCCUUCCUAACUGCAUACUCACAUAGUAUAUUUAUACUCUGCCCUAGUUAUUUGUUCAAAUUUCUACUUUUUGUAAGUUUCCCAUUUGUGUUUAAGAUUUCACCAAAGAUUUCACUGUUAAGCCAAUCUGGUCACCUACCAUAUUUGCUUUUCUUGCCGGAUGUUGGGAUGAUUUGUUCCUGUGCCUUCUAUAAGGCUUCUUUAAAAUACAGCCAGCUCUCCUGAAUUCCUUUCCCCCUCAUGUUAGUGUCCCAGGGGAUCUUGUCCAUCAGUUCCCUGAGGGAGUCAAAGUCUGCUUUUCUGAAGCCCAGGGUCUGAAUUUUGCUGCUCUCCUUUCUUCUUUAGUUCAGGAUCCUGAAUUUGACCAUCUCAUGAUCUCUGCUUCCCAGGUUGCCACCCACAUCUACUUCCCCUGCUAGUUCCUCCCUGUUUGUGAGCAGCAAGUGAAGCUGAGUAUGCCCCUGGUUUGUUCCUUCAGCACUUGUACCAGGAAGUUGUCCCCAACAUUCUCCAAAAACUUUGUGGAUUGUCUGUGUACUGUUGUAUUGAUCUCCCAACAGAUAUCAGGGUAAUUUAAGUUCCCUAUGAGAAUCAGGGCUUGUGAUCUGAAAGCUUCUGUUAGUUGUCUGAAGAAAGCCCUGUCUACCCCAUCCACCUGAUCUGGUGGUCUAUUACAAACACCCAACAAGACAUUACCGUUGUUGCUUCUGCCUCUACACUCAACCCAAAGACUCUCAACAGGCUUUUUUUCCUGUUUUAUACUGGAGCUCUGAGCAAUCAUACUGCUCUUUUGCAUACAGUGCAAUUACUGCAACUUUUCUCCCCUGCCUUUCCUUCCUGAAUAGUUUAUAUCCUACCAUGACAGUGCUGCAAUCAUGUGAGUCAUUCCAACAAGUCUCCGUUAUUCCAAUCACAUAUCUUAUGUGACAGUCAUCAUGCCUUCUUCUCCACAGUCUUCUGUUCCUCUUCUCUGUCUAGGUCCUUCUGAUCUGUUAUGAUUGAUGUUGCUGCUACUGCUUCUUUGCUUCUGCCUCUGUUCAGUAAUUUUAGCUUUUAACUUUCAGUUCGUGAUGUCUUUUGAUGAGACUCCAAACAUUCACUCACUCCAUCACCUUCAACUCAUAUUCUGACACAGAUUGACUAAAGACUGACAGAUGGAACGAGGUGUACAGAUAGUUCGGAAUGGCUUGCUAGUCCAAACUAUCUAGCCCGUGCCGCGUGUAGCCGUGCGGCACGGGGUUCGAACAAGCCGGCAUUUAAAAAUGGCGCCGGCCGUCUUAUGCAAAGUUCGCACUAGCGGGGUAGUGUAGACAUACCCAUUGUGAUUGCUUGCCGCCACCACCAUCUUGUCAUUGCUAGCUGUAACCUCCUAAAACUAUAUUAAUAAUUAAAGCUUUAUAAUAAUAAACUAUCCAUAUCUAAAUAUACUCUAA